GGCUGUGUGGUCUAGUGGUAUGAUUCUCGCUUAGGGUGCGAGAAGUCCCGAGUUCAAUUCUCGGCACAGCCC
rnacentral:tRNA from 1 species